rnacentral:rRNA from 1 species
UGCGGGGGGAGCAAGCGUUGUUCGGAUUUACUGGGCGUAAAGGGCGCGUAGGCGGUCGUGACAAGUCACUUGUGAAAUCUCCGGGCUUAACUCGGAACGGUCAAGUGAUACUGUCGGACUAGAGUACAGAAGGGGCAACUGGAAUUCUCGGUGUAGCGGUGAAAUGCGUAGAUAUCGAGAGGAACACCUGCGGCGAAGGCGGGUUGCUGGGCUGAUACUGACGCUGAGGCGCGAAAGCCAGGGAGCGAACGGG